rnacentral:tRNA from 1 species
GCUUGGUAGCGCACCUGACUGGGGGUCAGGGGGUCGCAGGUUCAAAUCCUGUCAGCCCGA